rnacentral:rRNA from 1 species
GAUGAACGCUGGCGGCGUGCCUAAUACAUGCAAGUCGAGCGAAUGGAUUAAGAGCUUGCUCUUAUGAAGUUAGCGGCGGACGGGUGAGUAACACGUGGGUAACCUGCCCAUAAGACUAGGAUAACUCCGGGAAACCGGGGCCAAUACCGGAUAACAUUUUGAACCGCAUGGUUCGAAAUUGAAAAGCGGCUUCGGCUGUCACUUAUGGAUGGACCCGGGUCGCAUUAGCUAGUUGGUGAGGUAACGGCUCACCAAGGCAACGAUGCGGAGCCGACCUGGGAGGGUGAUCGGCCACACUGGAACUGAGACACGGCCCAGACUCCUACGGGAGGCAGCAGUAGGGAAUCUUCCGCAAUGGACGAAAGUCUGACGGAGCAACGCCGCGUGAGUGAUGAAGGCUUUCGGGUCGUAAAACUCUGUUGUUAGGGAAGAACAAGUGCUAGUUGAAUAAGCUGGCACCUUGACGGUACCUAACCAGAAAGCCACGGCUAACUACGUGCCAGCAGCCGCCGUAA